GCGCGAGUGGCGGAAUUUGGCAGACGCGCAGGAUUCAGGUUCCUGUGUCCGUUACGGACGUGAGGGUUCAAGUCCCUCCUCGCGCA
rnacentral:tRNA from 2 species